AAAAACCUCCCGCGCAACCUCCUCGUCUCCUCCCCGGAGGCCUACUUCCACACCAUGGCCUGCAACACCGAGGAGUUCCGGAACACCACCGUGAACCACGACAUGCACUACAUCUCCUGGGGCGGCUCCCCUGCGCGUCAACCGGAACUCAUCAACUCCAGCCACUGGGACGGGAUGCUCGGCAGUGACGCCCCCUUCGCGUGCAAGUUUGGCCAGGACAACCCGGUGCUCGACCGAAUCGACGCAGAGCUCCUGUCACGGCAGCCCGGGAUGCUCGCCCCCGGCAGCUGGAGCAUCGGGGAUACCGGCGGCGAUGGCUCCUUCUGGAUCGUGAGGGACGCGACGCCCCUACGUCCUGGCCCUGGAGCUGCGCGGCUGCAGCGGCUCGUCACAUCGCUCCUGUCCGAUGACAACUUCCGGCCUAAACAGUGCAAG
rnacentral:rRNA from 1 species